UACGGGGGGGGCAAGCGUUGUUCGGAAUUACUGGGCGUAAAGGGCUCGUAGGCGGCCAACUAAGUCAGACGUGAAAUCCCUCGGCUUAACCGGGGAACUGCGUCUGAUACUGGAUGGCUUGAGGUUGGGAGAGGGAUGCGGAAUUCCAGGUGUAGCGGUGAAAUGCGUAGAUAUCGGGAGGAACACCAGUGGCGAAGGCGGCCUUCUGGCUCAUAACUGACGCUGUAGCGCGAAAGCGUGGGGAGCGAACGGG
rnacentral:rRNA from 1 species